rnacentral:lncRNA from 1 species
AUGCAAAUUCUUUAGUGCUAUGGAGUAAGUUGGUACAAAUAGUUUCUAAUUUCGAUAAUUUUUGUUUUUCCUCCGUGCUCUAAUGCUCGGUUGUUUUUUGUCCUUGCAGUUUUCUGGCAUAAAUGGGGUUCUAUAUUACACUCCUCAGAUUCUUGAGCAAGCAGGGGUUGCAAUUCUCUUAUCAAAUUUGGGCCUUAGCUCCACCUCUGCCUCUAUUCUCGUAAGUGCUCUAACAACCUUGUUGAUGAUGCUUCCAUCCAUAGGCAUUGCCAUGAGACUAAUGGAUGCCACUGGCAGAAGGUAUAGUUGUCCCUUUGUGCCACUAAUCAAAGCCUGAACUUUUCCCUUCAUCUUUAUACUCUUCUGUCUCCAUUGCAGGUCACUGUUGUUGACGACGCUGCCUGUACUGACGGGGACUCUCCUAGAAUUAAGUUUCGGACAACUUGUCCAUAUGGGUUCUGUUGUCAAUGCAACAAUUUCCACCAUCAGUGUGGUGGUCUACUUCUGCUGCUUUGUCAUGGGCUUUGGACCAAUUCCUAACAUUCUUUGCUCCGAGAUCUUCCCCACUUGCGUUCGCGGCCUCUGCAUCCCCAUAUGUGCCCUCACAUUUUGGAUUGGAGACGUCAUUGUCACUUACACAUUGCCUAUCAUACUCACCUCCAUUGGUCUUGCACACCAUUUCUUGGGUGUUUGUGUUCUUGAAGGUGCCGGAAACAAAGCGCAUGCCCCUUGA